GAAGCGGCAAAAGCUCAAAUUUGAAAUCUAGCACCUUCGGUUGUUCGAGUUUGUAAUUUGAAGAUGGUAACCUUGGGUUUGGCUCUUGUCUAUGUUCCUUGGAACAGGACGUCAUAGAGGGUGAGAAUCCCGUCUGAUGAGAUGCCCAUUCCUAUGUAAGGUGCUAUCGAAGAGUCGAGUUGUUUGGGAAUGCAGCUCUAAGUGGGUGGUAAAUUCCAUCUAAAGCUAAAUAUUGGCGAGAGACCGAUAGCGAACAAGUACAGUGAUGGAAAGAUGAAAAGAACUUUGAAAAGAGAGUGAAAAAGUACGUGAAAUUGUUGAAAGGGAAGGGCAUUAGAUCAGACUUGGUGUUUUACGAUUAUCUUCUCUUCUUGAGCUGUGCACUCGUAUUUCACUGGGCCAGCAUCGAUUCGGAUGGCAAGAUAAUGGCAGUUGAAUGUGGCUUCACUUCGGUGGAGUGUUAUAGCUUCUGCUGAUAUUGCCUGUCUGGAUCGAGGGCUGCGUCUUUUGACUAGGAUGCUGGCGUAAUG
rnacentral:rRNA from 1 species